UGGUGUCUGUGCGGGCGUUUCGGUCUCAGCAUUCGGUUGAAAUUGAUCGUGGAAUCUAGUUUAUCAUACUGGUGGCGGAAAUCGCGUUGAGGCUGUUGCAUUCCAGCGCGGGAACAAGUCUGGCGUGCUAGAGCUUCGUCGAAACGUAUGCGGAAGUGGUAGAUCAGUUCCGGAAGCCAGCCCCACCCGAGUUCAAGAUGUCUGAAACUAGAAACCUCAUGACGACGUUCAUAAUUCUGAUCUUCCUGCUAUUCCUGCUGUACGUCGUAAUCGAAAUAUUUUACUAGGAGGAUACAUUCAGUGCAGCGUAGCUCUAGUUAGAUGAGGAUGAGUGAGUGGGGAUGAAGUGUAGUUUAUAUCAUGAGUGAUAAGGAUGAGCGAGUGAACGGAGGAUCGAUCGGUGGACCGAAUGUGGAUAAGCCGAGUGUACCACCUACAUUUAGCCAGUUUUAAGAUGCACGUAGAUAGUAGGAUUCCAGCUUGAGCUUCGUACCGCCCAUAUGCACCUGCACACUGCGCGCACAAACUCUGCACACCCAGAUUGCACACCCGAGUUGAGACAAUGUUGCACCACCACCGCCAGCCACAACGGACAACGGACGUCAUCAGAAUGAGAUCACCAGACCGACUUCGAUUGCGAUGCUGCUUGUCGAUCGUACCGAGUUCAUCUAGGCCACCUGCUGAUGUUGCAGUAUUUGAACCUGCUGAUUCACACGUUGUAAUCCGACGGUUCCAUUUGCGCUGUUUACAGUUGCAAGGCUUAGGUUCCUUGCUGCAGUCAGCGUCAGUGUCAAUCAACUUUGGGUACUUACCGUUGUUGACGAGCACACCGCAACCGCCACCAUGAACAACAGGCGUAACAGUAUGAAAAAGGACGAUAAGCAUGCAAAGGAAAAGGUGGAUCGCAAGAUAAUCCGCCAUCCGACGGCGCCGUUUUCGAUGAAAUCCAUCAUUAUGAACCUGAUCAUUGCGUUCUUCCUGUAUUUGCUGCGGCGAGUCAUAGAGGCUGGCGGGAAAAGUGCGAUCACCAAGUACAGCCGGUUUAUCAAAUGAAGCGAUAGGGGAGAGGAGGGUGCCAGUGGCAGGUGUUGGGUUAAUUGAUAUUUUCUUCUUCGCUAAUGUUUUCCCCGCUACUAUUGACAAAUAUAAUCUUAAUGUGAUAAGGUUCCGGAA